rfam:Schistosoma margrebowiei strain Zambia genome assembly, scaffold: SMRZ_scaffold0000670
AUCCAACUGAUGAGUCCCCAAUAGGAUGAAACGUGAGUCUUGGAU